GAUGAACGCUGGCGGCGUGCCUAAUACAUGCAAGUCGAGCGAAUGGAUUAAGAGCUUGCUCUUAUGAAGUUAGCGGCGGACGGGUGAGUAACACGUGGGUAACCUGCCCAUAAGACUGGGAUAACUCCGGGAAACCGGGGCUAAUACCGGAUAACAUUUUGAACCGCAUGGUUGGAAAUUGAAAGGCGGCUUCGGCUGUCACUUAUGGAUGGACCCGGGUCGCAUUAGCAAGUUGGUGAGGUAACGGCUCACCAAGGCAACGAUGCGUAGCCGACCUGAGAGGGUGAUCGGCCACACUGGGACUGAGACACGGCCCAGACUCCUACGGGAGGCGGCAGUAGGGAAUCUUCCGCAAUGGACGAAAGUCUGACGGAGCAACGCCGCGUGAGUGAUGAAGGCUUUCGGGUCGUAAAACUCUGUUGUUAGGGAAGAACAAGUGCUAGUUGAAUAAGCUGGCACCUUGACGGUACCUAACCAGAAAGCCACGGCUAACUACGUGCCAGCAGCCGCCGUAA
rnacentral:rRNA from 1 species